rnacentral:rRNA from 1 species
CCCGCUGAACUUAAGCAUAUCAAUAAGCGGAGGAAAAGAAACCAACAGGGAUUGCCCUAGUAACGGCGAGUGAAGCGGCAACAGCUCAAAUUUGAAAUCUGGCUUCGGCCCGAGUUGUAAUUUGUAGAGGAUGCUUUUGGUGCGGUGCCUUCUGAGUUCCCUGGAACGGGACGCCAUAGAGGGUGAGAGCCCCGUAUAGUUGGACACCUAGCCUCUGUAAAGCUCCUUCGACGAGUCGAGUAGUUUGGGAAUGCUGCUCAAAAUGGGAGGUAUAUCUCUUCUAAAGCUAAAUACUGGCCAGAGACCGAUAGCGCACAAGUAGAGUGAUCGAAAGAUGAAGAGCACUUUGAAAAGAGGGUUAAAUAGCACGUGAAAUUGUUGAAAGGGAAGCGCUUGUGACCAGACUUGUGCCGGGCUGAUCAUCCAGUGUUCUCACUGGUGCACUCUACCCGGUUCAGGCCAGCGUCGGUUUUCGCAGGGGGAUAAAAGCUUCGGGAACGUGGCUCCUCCGGGAGUGUUAUAGCCCGCUGCUUAAUACCCUUGCGGGGACCGAGGUUCGCGCUCUGCAAGGACGCUGGCAUAAUGGUCAUCAGCGACCCGUCUUGAAACACGG